AUUGAACGCUGGCGGCAGGCCUAACACAUGCAAGUCGAACGAGUGGCGGACGGGUGAGUAAUGCCUAGGAAUCUGCCUGGUAGUGGGGGAUAACGUCCGGAAACGGGCGCUAAUACCGCAUACUAUCAGAUGAGCCUAGGUCGGUUUAGCUUGUUGGGGGGGUAACGGCUCACCAAGGCGACGAUCCCUAGCUGGUCUGAGAGGAUGACCAGCCACACUGGAACUGAGUAACUGUCCAGACUCCUACGGUAGGCAGCAGUGGGGAAUAUUGCACAAUGGGCGCAAGCCUGAUGCAGCCAUGCCGCGUGUAUGAAGAAGGCCUUCGGGUUGUAAAGUACUUUCAGCGGGGAGGCGUUACCCGCAGAAGAAGCACCGGCUAACUCCGUGCCAGCCGCCGCGGUAAUAC
rnacentral:rRNA from 1 species